CAAGGGACCGCAACCUGGGAAAAGCUUUUCAGGGCGAGCUUAUGGAGUUUGGACUUCACUCUGUACACAAUGAGAAGCCAACAACAUCCGAUUUUGAGCAGGGAAGUGACAGGUGAUGAUGAGUAAUGUUCCAGUUACACACAUAAGGAAACCACGGUGAGGAAAAGUCAAGUUCAUCCAGCUUAUCAAGCAGCAGAAACAACAUCGGAAUCCAUCUCUACACAUCCUGCAUGGUAUAUGUAGCUGGUAUCUGCGUACCUGUACACACAGCUGCUUCCUCUCAGCUCAGAUCCUAGUCAAAUUUCAGUGGGAAUGGAGACCAUCAAAGAGCCAAACCCUCAGAUAUUAAAUCAGAGCAGUUGUGUUCUGACUCUUGAAGAUAGUUUUCCCUUAAUACAUCAAUGGAAAGAUAUUUCAGGUGAAGAAACUACACACAGAUUCAAGCCCCCGGCUCCCCACUUGUAAGAGGAAAGCUUCACA